rnacentral:lncRNA from 1 species
CUCCUGAGGCAAGCCUCCCACCACAGCCUCCUGAGUAGCUGGGACCACAGAUGUGCACCACCCUAUCCAGCUAAUUUUGUUUCUCAUUUUUUGUAGAGACAAGGACUCACUAUGUUGUCCAGGCUGGUCUAGAAGUCCUGAGCUCAAGGGAUCCUCUUGCCUCUGCCACCCAAGGUGCUGGGAUUGCAGGAGUGAGCCACUGUCCCCAGCUGAUAACAUUUUCAGACGCAAUACUCAUCAGUGAGAUAAGACACAUAGUUUAAUGAGCUGCAUCUUGAGUGGCUGUGCUUAAUGUAUUCAUGAAACAGCAGCCUUGACCGCUAAAGAGAGGAAAACCUUCAGUCAACCAAAAAGAAAGACUGGAGUACAAUGGUGUGAUCUUGGCUCCCUGCAACCUCUGCCUCCAGGAUUCAAGUGAUUCUCCCUUUUCAGCCUUCCGAGUAGCUGGAAUUACAGAAACAUUUGGAAGAGUUUUACCACGCAAAGAUCAAAACAGCAAAGCAACUCUUCACAGCAAUUAUGAAUUUCACAAUAGACUCUUUAGUGUGGGUUGUAAACGCUUCUCAGCAUAUUUCCUCAUUUCCGUAUGUAAAGGAGAGCCGUCAG